AACUGCAGCCAUAUCACUCUGCAACUCACAAAUGGCAACCCACUGAAGCUAAGCAGGGGUGAGCCCGGUCAGUACCUGGAUGUGAGACCUCCUGGGAAAAACUAAGGUUGCUGCUAGAA
rnacentral:rRNA from 1 species